GACGGUCUCCCCGCCCGCCCUGCCGCAGGGACGGCCCUGAUCACAGCAGGAGCAGAAGCCGCCGUCGGGGUCCCGGUCUCCGUGCUGCCCAGCAGCCCCUCUUCUCCUCUCGUCCCAUUCGUCGCCGCCGCCACGGUUCCUCGCCUCUUAGCACCCUAGAUCAGCGGCGUCUCUGCGUCCGCGCCGCCUCCCGCCUCCCCGCUCUGCCGUCUCCUACGCGCGCUCUCGUCGCCACCGCAGCCUCAGCUCCACGAGCCCUCACCGCCAGUGCCUCCGCUCCACGCGCCCUCGCAGCACGCGCCUCCCCUGACAUAGGCGCUGCCGGACUCCGGCGCUUCCUCGCCGCCCCAUUCCAGGAGAGCACGAGGUGACAUCGCUCGGCCACGGACGGCCUUGACGCUCGAUCCGGAGGAAGUGGCGGGUGGGAACCCCAUGCACGGGAUCCAUCUGCGGUCUUCCCGAUGUACAUCCUGGCCCACCUCUCCUCAUUCCUUCAUCCCCUCGCCGGCGCGCAGUGGAGAUCCAUCCAGGCGUCGAUCGGCGCCUUUCUUCUCUUGUAUGUAAUCCCUGUAUCGUCCACCAUCGUGCGACACCCCAUCCCACCGCCAUCGAUUAAAAAGCAGCCACGUUCAUCUUCUCUGUUCGCCUCUGUUCUUUACCACCUCCGUGCCAGCACUCUAGGCGAGAGGGUCAUACUCGCCUCGGCCCGCCAGGACGACGCCACUUUCCGCAUUGUUGAGGGGAGGUGGCCAACUGCUAGGAGAGUGCGUACAUGCAGGAGGGAAUGGGGGCUCUGCGGGUGGCCAAGGAGGUGCUCAGGAUGCAGGAGGGGUGGAGGAAGGAGGCGGUGAGGGAGAUGAAUAGAACCGGAAGAUUGUCACGGUCACUGGCCAAUUCGGCCACUGACUGACCGUGCCUGUUGCUUGAUGUUCUGUCGGGUGUGGCCGAGGAGGUUUUCUUCCAGCCGAAGCUGGUGCUGAACACUGUAGAUGUACUGAGGAAGGCUUCAUUUGGAGGGUGAUUGCACUCGGAGCCAAUGAACACUGCUUGCCGCGACCUCAGAUGGCUGAACCAAGCAAAGCAUAAUCAAGAUGAUGCGUGUUCAAUGGCGCACUCAUGGUUCAGCCGUGGCCAGCGCGGUGCUGCAGCAGCAGCGGCAAGCGCGAUUUCUGUAUACUUCAGAAGUUAAGCACUUCACAAGAUAGUUCUACACUUGUCCAAAACGAAGGCACCGCGAAAGAGUCUAUCAUCUGCUUUGCCAGACCCAUUGGAUGAGAUCAAUCAAUUAAGAUCUGCCAGUGGGGAUCAUUCUUCAGUUACUGGUUCAGCACCAGAUUUUUCAAUGCAGUAGUUCACAACCAGACAGGAUAACCAUUGUGCAUUAGGACGCCAAAUGCCAUGGCUUGAAGGGGAUUGGGAUUCUGAAGAGGGGAGAUAGGCU